UAGAAUGAAGCUCGCCGGAUUGAGCGAUUAGCUGUUAACUAAUUUGUUGCGGGAUCAAGGCCCGUCUUUCUAG
rnacentral:tRNA from 1 species